GGUGAUGCGGUCAGUUUUCGAGAAAAGAAGCCAUUUUGGAUACUUUGGGAAUAUUUAAACAUUACUUCGCGAGAUCAAUUUGGUACCUGAAGGGCAUUGAAUUGGUACCAAAUCAUAAUCGUAGCAUGCUUCUAUCAUUUUUCUACGAAUACUUAUAGCUAUGGCUGAUAGGCGGAAGCUACAAGGUGAAAUUGACAGAUGCCUCAAAAAAGUAACAGAGGGAGUAGAGUCAUUUGAAGACAUCUGGCAAAAGGUGCACAAUGCAGCAAACACAAAUCAAAAGGAGAAGUAUGAAGCCGAUCUCAAGAGAGAGAUUAAAAAGCUGCAGG